rnacentral:rRNA from 1 species
GACGGGGGCCCGCACAAGCGGUGGAGUAUGUGGUUUAAUUCGAUGCAACGCGAAGAACCUUACCAGGGUUUGACAUCCUGCGAACCUCUAAGAAAUUAGAGGGUGCCUUUGGGAACGCAGUGACAGGUGGUGCAUGGCUGUCGUCAGCUCGUGUCGUGAGAUGUUGGGUUAAGUCCCGCAACGAGCGCAACCCACGUUUUUAGUUGCCAGCAUUCAGUUGGGCACUCUAGAGAGACCGCCGGUGAUAAACCGGAGGAAGGUGUGGAUGACGUCAAGUCAUCAUGCCCCUUACAUCCUGGGCUACACACGUACUACAAUGCUACGGACAAAGGGCAGCGAACUCGCGAGGGCAAGCAAAUCCCAUAAACCGUGGCUCAGUUCAGAUCGUAGGCUGCAACUCGCCUACGUGAAGAAGGAAUCGCUAGUAAUCGCAGGUCAGCAUACUGCGGUGAAUACGUUCCCGGGCCUUGUACACACCGCCCGUCACACCAUGGUAUAGUUGGCCACGCCCGUAAGUCGUUACUCCAAC